rnacentral:tRNA from 1 species
AGCUUUAUAGUCAAAUAUGACAUUAAAUUGCAAAUUUAAAGGUAGGUUAACUUAAGGCUU